rnacentral:rRNA from 1 species
CGGACCGGCGCACGGGUGAGUAACACGUAUGCAAUCCACCUGUAACAGGGGGAUAACCCGGAGAAAUCCGGACUAAUACCCCAUAAUAUGGGCUCUCCGCAUGGAGGGUCCAUUAAAGAGAGCAAUUUUGGUUACAGACGAGCAUGCGCUCCAUUAGCCAGUUGGCGGGGUAACGGCCCACCAAAGCGACGAUGGAUAGGGGUUCUGAGAGGAAGGUCCCCCACAUUGGAACUGAGACACGGUCCAA